rnacentral:rRNA from 1 species
UACGAAGGGGGCUAGCGUUGCUCGGAAUCACUGGGCGUAAAGCGCACGUAGGCGGAUCGUUAAGUCGGAGGUGAAAUCCUGGAGCUCAACUCCAGAACUGCCUUCGAUACUGGCGAUCUUGGAGUCCGGGAGAGGUGAGUGGAACUCCGAGUGUAGAGGUGAAAUUCGUAGAUAUUCGGAAGAACACCAGUGGCGAAGGCGGCUCACUGGCCCGGUACUGACGCUGAGGUGCGAAAGCGUGGGGAGCAAGCAGG